rnacentral:rRNA from 1 species
AAAGCGUGCGCAGGCGGCUUUGCAAGACAGAUGUGAAAUCCCCGGGCUCAACCUGGGAACUGCAUUUGUGACUGCAAGGCUAGAGUACGGCAGAGGGGGAUGGAAUUCCGCGUGUAGCAGUGAAAUGCGUAGAUAUGCGGAGGAACACCAAUGGCGAAGGCAAUCCCCUGGGCCUGUACUGACGCUCAUGCACGAAAGCGUGGGGAGCAAACAGGAUUAGAUACCCGGGU